rnacentral:rRNA from 1 species
CAUGUAGGCGGUUUUUAAGUCCGGAGUGAAAUGCGGGGCUCAACCCCGUAUGGCUCUGGAUACUGGAAGACUUGAGUGCAGGAGAGGAAAGGGGAAUUCCCAGUGUAGCGGUGAAAUGCGUAGAUAUUGGGAGGAACACCAGUGGCGAAGGCGCCUUUCUGGACUGUGUCUGACGCUGAGAUGCGAAAGCCAGGGUAGCAACG